rnacentral:rRNA from 1 species
GACGAACGCUGGCGGCGUGCUUAACACAUGCAAGUCGAACGGAAAGGCCCUGCUUUUGUGGGGUGCUCGAGUGGCGAACGGGGGAGUAACACGUGAGUAACCUGCCCUUGACUUUGGGAUAACUUCAGGAAACUGGGGCUAAUACCGGAUAGGAGCUCCUGCUGCAUGGAGGGGGUUGGAAAGUUUCGGCGGUUGGGGAUGGACUCGCGGCUUAUCAGCUUGUUGGUGGGGUAGUGGCUUACCAAGGCUUUGACGGGUAGCCGGCCUGGGAGGGUGACCGGCCACAUUGGGACUGCGGUACGGCCCAGUCUCCUACGGGAGGCAGCAGUGGGGAAUAUUGCACAAUGGGCGGACGCCUGAUGCAGCAACGCCGCGUGCGGGAUGACGGCCUUCGGGUUGUAAACCGCUUUCGCCUGUGACGAAGCGUGAGUGACGGUAAUGGGUAAAGAAGCACCGGCUAACUACGUG